rnacentral:rRNA from 1 species
UACGUAGGCAGCAAGCGUUGUUCGGAGUUACUGGGCGUAAAGGGUGCGUAGGCGGCCUUAUAAGUUUGGUGUGAAAUCUCCCGGCUCAACUGGGAGGGUGCGCCGAAUACUGAGAGGCUAGAGUGUGGGAGAGGAAAGUGGAAUUCCUGGUGUAGCGGUGAAAUGCGUAGAUAUCAGGAGGAACACCGGUGGUGUAAACGGCUUUCUGGACCAUAACUGACGCUGAUGCACGAAAGCGUGGGUAGCAAACAGG